rnacentral:rRNA from 1 species
UACGUAGGGGGGCAAGCGUUUGUCCGGAUUUAUUGGGCGUAAAGCGCUCGCAGGUGGUUCGAUGCGUCGUGCGUGAAAGACCCCGGCUCAACUGGGGGGGUGUCGUGCGAUACGGUCGGACUGGAGGCCAGUAGGGGGGAUGCGGAAUUCCGGGUGUAGUGGUGGAAUGCGUAGAGAUCCGGAGGAACACCAGCGGCGAAGGCGGCAUCCUGGACUGGUCCUGACACUCAUGAGCGAAAGCGUGGGGAGCGAGUCGG